AGAACAUUGAUUGCCUUUAUAGAGACUAAAAUGUUAACAUUGAAGAUUCAUGGAUGAACCUAGAUUUGAGAUCCAUCAGAGAAUGGAGGUCACAGAGCAAACUGAAGCCCCCCAAAUUGGAGAAAGACACGUGGAUACAGAGAAUCACAACUUACUGGGAACAAGCAGAAACCUCCGUGGGAACAAAGGGCAGAGUAGGAAAAACCUAAGCUAUAAUUGAUAAACUGCUGGAAGCUCAAUGUGAACAAAUCUGAGAGUUAACUUGUUGUGGGGG
rnacentral:lncRNA from 1 species